UUUCCGUAGGUGAACCUGCGGAAGGAUCAUUAUCGUACAAAAUGUGAGGGGCAUGCGAGGGCUGUCGCUGUCCCAAAAGACGUGCACGCCCGAGUGUGUCCUCUUGCAUAAUAAUCCAUCUCACCCUUUGUGCAUCACCGCGUGGGCACCCUUCGGGAUCAUCUCGGAGGGGGGCUCGCGUUUUCACACAAACUUUGUAUGCAGUGUAGAAUGUAUUUUUUGUUUUUGCGAUCACGCAAUCAAUACAACUUUCAACAACGGAUCUCUUGGCUCUC
rnacentral:misc_RNA from 1 species